rnacentral:rRNA from 1 species
GAUGAACGCUGGCGGCGUGCCUAAUACAUGCAAGUCGAGCGAACAGAUAAGGAGCUUGCUCCUUUGACGUUAGCGGCGGACGGGUGAGUAACACGUGGGCAACCUACCUAUAAGACUGGGAUAACUUCGGGAAACCGGAGCUAAUACCGGAUAACAUUUGGAACCGCAUGGUUCUAAAGUGAAAGAUGGUUUUGCUAUCACUUAUAGAUGGACCCGCGCCGUAUUAGCUAGUUGGUAAGGUAACGGCUUACCAAGGCAACGAUACGUAGCCGACCUGAGAGGGUGAUCGGCCACACUGGAACUGAGACACGGUCCAGACUCCUACGGGAGGCAGCAGUAGGGAAUCUUCCGCAAUGGGCGAAAGCCUGACGGAGCAACGCCGCGUGAGUGAUGAAGGGUUUCGGCUCGUAAAACUCUGUUAUUAGGGAAGAACAAAUGUGUAAGUAACUGUGCACGUCUUGACGGUACCUAAUCAGAAAGCCACGGCUAACUACGUG